GUUAUGUCAUGUGAUUACAGAGAAAAGUGAUCAUCACAACACAGUGUUUCGCACGCACCGGACUGCUAAUUAGCAAUUAGAUGGAGAGAAAAAAGGUUGUGAUAGAUUUAUAGUAAUCAAUAAAACAUGUUGUCUGUGACCAGAUAAUGUAUUAAAAAAGCCCCAGUGCCCAUUGUGAUACAGUAGUCAACAAAGCCAGGUGACCGUCAUGAUACAGUAGUCAAUAAGCCAUGGUGAACGUCAUGAUA